UACGUAGGGUCCGAGCGUUGUCCGGAAUUAUUGGGCGUAAAGGGCUCGUAGGCGGUGUGUCGCGUCGGGAGUGAAAACUCGGAGCUCAACUCCGAGCUUGCUUUCGAUACGGGCAGACUAGAGGUAGGCAGGGGAGAGCGGAAUUCCUGGUGUAGCGGUGGAAUGCGCAGAUAUCAGGAGGAACACCGGUGGCGAAGGCGGCUCUCUGGGCCUUACCUGACGCUGAGGAGCGAAAGCGUGGGUAGCGAACAGG
rnacentral:rRNA from 1 species